rnacentral:rRNA from 1 species
AAGCUCGUAGUUGAAUUUCGGGGUCAGCAGGUUGGUCGUGCCAAUGGUAUGAACUGGCCUUGCUGAUUCCUCCCUCUUGAUGAGCCGUAAUGCUAUUAAUUUGGUGUUGCGGGGAAUCAGGACUGUUACUUUGAAAAAAUUAGAGUGCUUAAAGCAGGCAAGCGCUUGAAUACAUUAGCAUGGAAUAAUGAAAUAGGACGUUUGAUCCUAUUUUGUUGGUUUCUAGGAUUGACGUAAUGAUUAAUAGGGAUAGUUGGG